rnacentral:misc_RNA from 1 species
UUAAGUUCAGCGGGUAUUCCUACCUGAUUCGAGGUCAACCACGUAAAAGAGGGGGUUUUCCGGCCGGACAACGUCCCAGACCCAGAACGAGAUGUAUUACUGCGUUCGGUUUUGGGGCGCCGCCGCCGCUUGCUUUAGGAGGCUGCAGUGCAGUCCUCCAACGCCAGGCAGGGCCUGAGGGUUGCAAUGACGCUCGAACA